UCCUCGGUGGUGCAGUGGUAGAGCACGCGUUUCCGGGUAAGAUGAAAUGCUGGUUUGAUUCCCUCCUGAGGCC